CCCAAACCCUAACUCAUAUCCCCUCCAUUCCCCCGCCUCCCCUUGUCUCCCUCUCCCCGAUCCAGAUUGACAACGCCAGCUUCCUCUCUCCCUCGCCUGCAGGUCCCUCCACUGCCGUCCCUCCUACCCCAGCAUCGGCCAUCCUCCCUUCCGCCACCUUCUCAUGUCCCAGUCACUCGCCUUUGUCCUCCUGCUGCCGAUCGUGCGCGCCGCCCAACCUCACCAGUGACAUAUGCACUGCCGCCAGCAGGCACGGCGUCGCGGUCAACCGGCUCGUCGGCGUGCACAUGCUUCAACGCACGCUGCUCCAUCGAGCUGGCCGGACCGCGGCGACGCGUGACCUCGGGUUUGUGGUUGCUUUUCCCCAUGCCGGCCAUGACUCUUCGGCAACCAGGACGGCAACGGCAUCGACGGGAUCCUCGAACGGCUGUCGUCCACCUCGCGCUGCAGGGAGGGGUCUGUUGUCUCCUCGCACGAGGGGGCGGCCGUGUUCGUCGUUCCCCACCCUGGCAGUUGAUCCUGGCUGCCGUUGCUUCACUAGCCUCUUCCGCCGGCGUCUCCGUGAGGGCGCUCGACCCUAGAGGGGUCGUGCCUGAGGAGACCGAGCUCGUCGUGCUGCUCUUUUUCAAUGUCAACAAGGGAAUGGCCGACGAGGAUAACAGGGUCCCUGCACCAACAGGUAACUGGCGCAGCCGCUGUAACAUGAGACGCUGGACUGGAUGAAGGAUCAUGAAGAGAACAACUACACAAUGUUGUGGAUGAACAGGAUGAUGGGAGGGUGAAUCAGAUCUAGGAGCACAUCGACUACGAAGUUUGCCGACACGCAAGUAUCGUAUGUGUGUCUACUCGUCCAACCUGGUAAUCCACCAUUUGGUCUCCUUUGAUUGAUAUCCUCCAAAAUAAGAGGAGAUUCUUUUUUUGCUUAAUCUCCUUGUGUAUGUGCUUCUUGCACCUAUUGAUGCUACAAGUUAAGUAAUCAGAUAAGCCCUUCAUGUGUUGUAUGCAA